rnacentral:rRNA from 1 species
UACGAAGGGUGCAAGCGUUAAUCGGAAUUACUGGGCGUAAAGCGCGCGUAGGUGGUUCAGUAAGUUGGAAGUGAAAUCCCCGGGCUCAACCUGGGAACUGCUUUCAAAACUGCCGAGCUAGAGUACGGUAGAGGGUGGUGGAAUUUCCUGUGUAGCGGUGAAAUGCGUAGAUAUAGGAAGGAACACCAGUGGCGAAGGCGACCACCUGGACUGAUACUGACACUGAGGCUCGAAAGCGUGGGGAGCAAACAGG